ACGGAAGGCAGCAGUGGGGAAUAUUGCACAAUGGGGGAAACCCUGAUGCAGCGACGCCGCGUGAGUGAUGACGUAUUUCGGUAUGUAAAGCUCUAUCAGCAGGGAAGAUAAUGACGGUACCUGACUAAGAAGCCCCGGCUAACUACGUGCCAGCAGCCGCGGUAAUACGUAGGGGGCAAGCGUUAUCCGGAUUUACUGGGUGUAAAGGGAGUGCAGGCGGUUCUUUAAGUCUGAUGUGAAAACCCAAGGCUCAACCAUGGGAUUGCAUUGGAAACUGGGGGACUAGAGUAUCGGAGAGGUAAGCGGAAUUCCUAGUGUAGCGGUGAAAUGCGUAGAUAUUAGGAGGAACACCAGUGGCGAAGGCGGCUUACUGGACGAUUACUGACGCUGAGGCUCGAAAGCGUGGGGAGCAAACAGGAUUAGAUACCCUGGUA
rnacentral:rRNA from 1 species